CUGUUGUUGUUCAUUGUUGAGGUGUCAAGAGUCCUUUUCUUUAGGAGUAGCUUAAUGACAGCUAUCUUUAGUGGCUUGGGAAAAAUGAUGCCUGAUGCCAGUGAGCUGUUAGCUAUCAGCAGAAGAUCACUUUCCACUGAGGUAAAAACUGUUUUUAAAAAGUCGGAUGGUAUCAUGUCCAGAGUGCAUGUUGUUGAUGUCAAAUGUCAAACUAUUUCUUGUAGGACUUUUAAAUCGACCACAUUAAAUUGUGAUAUAACAUCAGAGAUAUU